CGGGAACAUGGAGCGUGAAGAGACAGGGAGCUUGGAUUUUCAUCCCAGAAGACUGCAUGCCGCAGAGAUCAGCAGAGCUGGGCAGCAGGCAGCAGCUGGUACCUUGUGCUGCCUUUGACACACUGCUCCAUCAGUUCAGAAUCUUGUCCAGCGUCAUUCUCUUGGAGGCCUCAAAGAAGUCAUUUUGCUGUGGUGUCCCAGCUACAGUAUUUAGCCCAUAAAGCGGUCUCUGGAGUUCUCAGGCUAUCCCAGCAGGAAUGCAGGGCGAAACCUCAGAUAUGCCUGAUCCUUUCUGUGUUUUCCAGGACUUUUCAUUUUCCACUCUACUUUUUUUCGUUUCUUCUUUUUUCUUUUCCUUUGCCCAAGCUUGUCAAAUAAAUUGCAUCUGUUUUUUUGGCCGUUACAGUUUAUGGUUUCUAGGAAAAAGAAAGACUCUGCCCAUUUACAAUAAAUACCAGAGAGCCAGAGUAGAGGGAUUGAGAAGCAGGAAUAUACUGGAGGAAAGUCUGAUGCUUGGAAGGGGAAAAUACUUUUCUAUUGUAAAUUUGUGCCAAAUUAUAACUGAACUAUCUUUGAAGAACCUCAGGGAUGAAGCUGUGUGGCUUGUGGUUUUCCUUAAGGGUGUCUGGAGUGUGACUAGCAUCAGUGAAAGCAGCAAUGGCUUCUCCCAACAGCUGCAACUGCUUGGGGUUCAGUAGAACAUAAGGAAGCCAUUUGAGGACAGAACAAAUGACAUUUUGUUUCCUUUACCACUUCAGGAGUGGGCUGAUAGUUUCAUUUUAUGUUUCUUACCCUAUGGGAUCAUUGCUUCAACUGCUGAUAAACGUAGUCAUUGUUAUUAAGACUGAUGGUGUAAUUUUAGCCUGGUGGUGGAUGAUUC
rnacentral:lncRNA from 1 species